UUUCAUCCUCUUAUGGCUGUGAAGAAAGAGCUUCCUUGGUGGCCUGGUUUUCUAGCACAUUUCUUAUCAUGAAUGUCAUCUCUCCACUUGGAAUGGACAGCAGCAAUGAUAGACAUGCAAUGAUCAGCAGCAAACAGAUUUUAACCUUAUUUAACUGGUGGAAGCUGCUUCUGCUGAAGAUGAUACUUCUAUUCUGAAUGAGAAGUAGUUGGUAGCUUGAGAACAACCUUCAAAGGAGACCAGCAUUCUGUGCUGCAACAAGAAGGGGAGAGCUAAAGAGGAGGAGCUUGGAAAAGGAUCAUAUGAACAAACCAGUGGGCAGCACCAAGGUUGUCAGUCCAGCUUGAGCACUGAUAUGGGUGUCAAGAAUUUAUACGUUUCCAUUGUUAACAUACUUCUGUGUAUCCAUCACUGGGUUUAGGUUAAAAAACUUGGAGUUGUAGCAUACUGCAUAUUCAGACCAUGUAUCCACCAUCCAUGCAGAAAACCUAAUACAAUGGAUGACUGUUAACUGUGAAAUAGCUAGAUUAAUUUUCUAAGUGAACAGUGAAAAGAUAUUGCUUAGUAUUAUAUAUAUCCUCCCUUUGCCACAUCUCAAGUUCCCUGAAAACCUCCACAUAUCUCUGGAAAUGACUGUAUUCUUCUGAAAUAUCAUCUAGCUUAAUCCUGCUUGUGGAAGAAACCACAUCCAUCCUGUGCAAAUGAGAAGGAAAAUUAAAUUGUGGGUGUAACACAGUAACACAAUGGAAAUCACAGCAACGAUAGCAGAGUAGCAAAGUCCUAGGCUGCUGCAAAGGGGGAUGUGCUCAAACACAGCAGCUGUGAACAUAGAAAAAAAAAAGGAAAAAUAGUCUAAUUACCUUCAGAAGGACUCAGACACACAAGGAAUCUCCAGCAAGACACCCGCACCUCCUCCUGCCAACCCUUAAUUGAGGUCUGGGCAGGGGUGGAUCCUGGCUCCACCCUUCCGGUCACUCAGGCACAUUGCACACACCUGAGCUCCCCUGGCCUGGCCCUGCCUUCCCACCAGGUGCUCAAUCACUGGUUCAGGCUGUGGCUUAGCAUUUCUGCUACAGUGGGCUAAAAGAAUCAUUCAUGUUAUGCUCUAGAUUCGGUAAAACAUACAAGCAUUAGUCACAUGGUGGAAAAAAACAUAGAAAUCAGGUGUGAUACAUCUGUGGAAACUAUCUGUGUUGCUAAGUUUUCUCAAUAAGGUGGAGCUUCUGACUGUCAAUCUUCACCACGCAAAGCACAAUUGCGUCAUCUCCAGGAUGUGCCUCUGGUCACUGUCUAGUUCAGCGUGUUAGUUUAUGGCACUGAGCAAACCCAGCAGCUCUUCUCCAUACAUUUUCUGAUACUAGGACAUUCAUCGCAGUCUGAUCAGGAUGAUGUGCUCCACCAGCACUUAUGACUUCACCUACAUGUGCUGUUGGACCACUCAGCAGUGGAUUCUUCUCUCAUAUGAAGAAUGCUAUCAUACAACAUGCCAUUCGAUCAGUUCGUCUGUAAAAAUCACUUCUGGAAUACUGAGAAUGAGUUUGUGAUGCCUGUGCUGGUCUGUUGGGAUUGUUCAGCUUGCUUGAGGGGAGGAGUUCACAGUAUUAUUGUACACUACAACGCACAGAACAUACAAUAUGACUUUUCAGAGAAGAGUGCCCCUGAAGAGAAACAUCAUUCAAAUGGCUGAAGAGGGAGGUGAUAUUUUCCACAGAGUGUCUACAUCGAUGACAUGUUCGCAUACACCAAAACAACAAAAUACCCUCUGUAAAGGUUUUCUUUUUGAUUGAUACACACUCUUGUGGGGGAAAGGGGAAAGAAUAACCAUCCACACCAGUAAAUAUCGUGCAGCUGUG
ensembl:lncRNA